rnacentral:rRNA from 1 species
UACGUAGGGUGCAAGCGUUGUCCGGAAUUACUGGGCGUAAAGCGUGCGCAGGCGGUUUUGUAAGUCUGUCGUGAAAUCCCCGGGCUCAACCUGGGAAUGGCGAUGGAGACUGCAAGGCUAGAGUUUGGCAGAGGGGGUAGAAUUCCACGUGUAGCAGUGAAAUGCGUAGAUAUCGAAGAGGAACACCUGCGGCGAAGGCGGGUUGCUGGGCUGAUACUGACGCUGAGGCGACGAAGCCAGGGAGCGAACGGG